rnacentral:lncRNA from 1 species
UAUGAAAAAUAAAACUAGAGGCUCUAAAGAGCCUGUGUCGCUCACCUUGGUAUAUGUGAAUUAAACAAAGGAAGCAGACAGUUCAUGACAAAAUUGUGUUUAGGUGAUUGUGAUGUGUUUGUACAUCUUACUUUACUGAACAUUCUUGCUGCUUACAAUUAUCUCUAUCUAUAAUGAACUUGUCCGUGUAGUUUCAGUGGAAAAUG